AAUGUAUGGGCACAGACACUUGUGAUGGCUACAAUUCUCCACAAGAGAGAGCUCUUCAUCUAAAUAAAAAAAAAAAAAAAAUCUACAAAUGGUAAAUAAGGGGAGGAGAUUCAAGGCAAUUCCUUCAGACAUGCAGAGGUUUCAAACAUAGUUGCUCAUCAGUUCCUUGUCAGUAAUGCUAUUCCUAUUUUGUCUGUGGUUUAUCUCCCUCUUUACAGGUGAUGCCUCUAGUGAGGGAAUAGCACCAGUCUCUCCUAAUGAAUUUGUCUCAGAAGGGAACACAAUCACCCUGUCCUGCAAUUACAAUGGAUCAGCUACUACAGAUGCUCUCCAUUGGUAUCGUCAGUACCCGAGAUCCAGACCAGACUUCCUGUUUCUAGUUAAUGAAGCUGCAUUUAAGCAACCAGCGGAUCCUCCGAUUCCUGGAAUAUCUGCUAGAUUAAAUGAGGAGAAAAAUCGUGUGGAUCUGGAGAUCACUGGCACUGCAUCAACUGAUUCUGCUCUGUACUACUGUGCCCUGCAGCCCACAGUCACAGGAAACACACAUGCACUGUACAAAAAUCAGACACAUUUAAAUAGAAGCUGCAAUGUCAUUUAAGUGCUCACUGGAUCAUUAUGCAUUGAUUUUGAUCCAGCAUUUGGGAGCAAAGGAUUAAGAAUGAGAUUUUGAGUUUCAUUUGUCUAAUCAUUGUCUCCUUAUCAACUGACCUUAUGUUCAAGAAAACAGAAUACUAAAAUACACAAUCAGAAUUUAAGGACAUGCAUCUAGUAAACCACUCUAACAGUUAUCAUCAGUAUACAGUAUACAUUUUGACACAUUUU